CCCCGGCCUUCCGCCCGCGGGAGAGCCUGGGGCCGGCGCAGGAUACAGCCCGCCGCGCAGCCCGCCCGCCCCGAGGCCCGGGGGACCCCAGGGGCGCGGGAGGCCUGUGGCGCGGGGGGCAGGGCGCGGCCGCCGCGGGGCCCAAGGCCUAGGGCGCCCCCCUUCCGCAGCACUCCCCAGGCCCGGCCCGCGCAGGCCGCGCCACUCGCCGCGCUCAGUCCGCCGCCGGAACCCCCGCCGUAGCUGCCUGCGGGCGUCCCCGAGGCCCCCAGUCCCCCAGGCCCCCACCCCCAGCGCCGGCCCCACUCACCCUUUCAUUCUCCGCCGGCGGCCUGGCGUGGGCCGGCGAAUCCCCGGCCUCACAUCAGAGAGGCGCUGCCAGUGGACUAGGAAGCUCGGCUGAUACUGCUCCCGCCCUGGGCUUCAGAGAGUCUUUCCCUGUCGAACAAGAGGGGUGAGGAUCAUAUUUUUAUUUUGGAAACUAAAAAGUGUUCCCAGGGUCGGUGAUCAUUAAGGGGAAAUCCCUGAAUGUACUCUCCAGCCAAGAAGGCAGGGCUGCCCGCCUGCACUGGAAGAGACAGCAGCCUCCUACAGCACCACUACAGGCACUGCGAGGACAUAACACCAUAGAGCAGUUCCUCUGCCCUCCGAAACGACAACUUUCCUACCAUCUUGGAGGCAGAGAAAAGAGGGGCCAAGGGAAAAAGUGCACCGGCUCCGGAUAAAGUACAAAUUUCUACCUCUCAUCUCUGGAAAAAGUCCACACUCGCGGUCUACACCGGCGCCUAGGGGUCUGAAAAGCAAGGGAAGAAAACUGAAGCGAGUUCAUUUGCUCCGUGGGGGGGAAUGUUUCUGCACCUUCUGAUGGAAAGAAAUCUUUACAAGACACAGGUUUUACGAUAUUGUUGUUUUCCAUUUUAACUUUUUUCCAUGAUGGUGAUAGUGGUAGCUUAAGUUUUGUUUUGGUUUGGUUUGUUUUCAGGCUAAUAAUGAGUUUUCUCUAUGGCAGGUCCAAGUUCUGUAUCUGGUGGUCAGUCUGUAAACAGGCACCUCAGAGACUUAUAGGUCACUUUAUUGUGUUUAUUUUAUUGCCCGUUUGUAUUGUAUGUAUGCGUGUUUAUGUUUUCAUGGGUUACAGUUAGGAUUUUGUGGGUUUGGUGUCCAGGAAACUGAGGGUGCUACAAGUCAAUUGUAAAGAGAUGUCUUUUGUCUUCUCUCAAAGCAAUGUAAGUAAAACCUAUUGGCUGUCCAGAAAGGCAUUAAUACAGCUGUUUAUUUUUCACAGUGCAAAUCAAAGCACUGUGUAUUUAAAGUCUCCUUACAACAGACCAAGCCUGUGAUGGUCUAGCUGCCCAAGAAGAAAGAUGACUCCUGUUAACCUACCAGGAAAGAUGCUUUGGAUUUUCUUUCAGUAAAAUUGUGUAUUAAGAAUGACAUCUAGGAUUUCAUUUGUGUUAUUUUUCUUUCAAUUUGUAUAGAUAAUUUAAUGUCCGGGGCUUUGGUGCAUUGCAUACAGUUCUUCUAUCUACUCUCGUUAACACAGAAUUGAGAGGUGUGUUUAUUCUUCCUAGUGUUGAAAUGUUCAGAACUUCCAAAGUGGUACGGGACUGUUGAGUAACUUCAUACACUGCAAGGACGUCGUGCACUUACUUUUAAAAAAAAAUGAUUCAUUUAUUUUUAUUUUAUGUGCAGUGGUGUUUUGCUUGAAUGUAUGUCUGUGUAAGGGUGUUGUAUCCUUCUGGAGCUGGAGUUAACAGACAGCUGAAAGCUACCAUGUGGGUGCUGGGAAUUGAACCUGGGUCCUCUGGAAGAGCAGCCAGUGCUCGUAAUCACUGAGCCAUCUCUCCAGCCCCAGAAUUUAUUUAUUUAUUUAUUUAUUUAUUUAUUUUUUAAGAGCAAACUUUAGCAUGCAAUCAGGAUCAAAGUUAAGCUGUUCUGCUUGUGGAGGUGACAGCAAGGUGCUGCCGACUGGCUUUUACUCAGAACUGUAGUGGAGAAUUCCUUGUGGAGAAUUCCUUGCAGAUGAAUUGGAAGCACAGUAGGAAAUGGCCAGGUUUUUCUUAUGUUCCAAGGGAAUGAGGAUUUUCAUUUAAAAUCCAUUACAAAAUCAUUUAUGAGUAGCUGAUAGCUCCAGCUUAAAAUUCCUAUUUCUGAGUUAUAACUUUAAGAUAAAUUCAGAUACUAUUUUUCUGUGGAACUUUAUGAUCUAAAUUUGUAUAUAAUACCUUCUGUGAGUUUUACCUCCCUUUUUGAUGGGAAAAACUACAGACAUUAAAAUUUACCAGUUCC
ensembl:lncRNA